GUGGGUGCCAGACAACAUGGAGUAUUGUGUGGUGAGAAGAGCUCUAACCUUAGAAACUCUCUCCUCUAGAAUCUCCAGAAAGGAAAACGGUCCCACCAGUACCUUGGUUUUUAACCCAGGAAAACAUCCAACCAACAGAGUGGUAAGAAAGUUUGACCAAUGGGAAGUAGUAGGUGGUUCUAUGAGGGAGUGAAAAUGUAUCUUUAUCUUGAGAGAGAAUAAUGAGGCGGAGAACCCGGGGAAGAGAAGGAAGAAAACUGUGAAUAAAACCAGGAUAUUGGAACCAUAUCUUGUGCUGAAGAAAAAUCAACCAGGAGUCAGACCAGAGGAUUUUCAUAGUUUUCUGACAUAAAUUCCAUUUAAAGCUAUGCUUAUCUAAGCUUAUGCUUUGGUGAAAGAGUUGAUAAUGUUGACUGGCAUACACAGAAUAUUUAAAAAGAGCAAUAAUGAACUAUUACUCAAUUACUUCUUAGACACAUGGCAGUUAUACCAUUUCAGCAGUGUAUGGUUAUAUUACAAAACAGAAGAUUUAUAUAUUGAAAAUAUGUAAUAUACUUGCACUUUGGUUUUGGUUGUGAUUAUAAACUCAUAUUUUAGUUCCUGGAGAAAAACCUGAAUAAAAAUGUUUUUAUUUACAUUAUACCAACAGACCCAAUUUUCGUAAAACAGGAUUAUCAUAGUAUUUGAUCACAAAUCAAAGCAAUUAGUAUAGUAUAUAUGGUGGUAAAGUAGUAUAAUAGUUGGCAUAAUUAUUGUAUAUUGUAAGAUACAUAGGUGAGAAUCAUUAAGAUAAUGAAAUAGCAUGUGCAAUUACUGUUAUAAUUCGUGAAAAAGCAUUCUCAGAUAAAAAAAAGCUUACUGCAUACUCAUGGCACAAUCCAUCAGUUGACUGACUAAUGACCUUAAAUAACCAUGUGCUUAAACACUCUGUCACAAGCACCACAA